GCAUGCACAGAGCUUGAGGCGAGUAAAGUUACACCAGCGGAGGGAGAUGAGGACAAGAGUGUCGUCGCCGAUACUAACGGAUCGGUGGUCACAUUUGAGGGCGAGUUUGGGGACGGCAUCGAAGCGGGUUAAGAGAGAAGGGAGGAGAGGAAGGAGAUCAGACUCGGCUUUGAGGGAUAGGCGAUGUUGGCUCUGGCCCUCCCCAAGAAGCCAACGACAGGAGAGAGAGAGCACGAUUAUCGCGAUCGCUUCUCUUCCAUUCCAUAUCUCCUAGAUAGUUCUUCUCAGUUCUCAUCGAAACGCGUAAACGAGGAGCAAGUCCCAAAAAAUGAACUAACUGCCCUGCCCCCUUCUCCUUAACGGAAUCCGCUCGUCUAUCGGCUCUUCAAGAAGGAAGACAUACAUGUAGAGGUUGUCGAAAAUGGUGUUUAUGUUCAGAACUCUUUGAUUCAUUUUUACGGUUUUUUCCGCUUAUGUUGAGAGUUACAAUUUGAUGAUUUCGUUGGUCGUUUUUUCUGAGAUGAGAUUUCGCGGGGUUGAGAAAGAGGAGGCCUCCAUGGUGGUCUUACUCUCUGCUUGUGCCGAGCUUGGGAACCUUAGCUUGGGCAAAUGGGUACUUUUUCAGGUGAUUGAAAAUGGUUUGAUAUGGAAUGGAGAUUAUGCCCGCCAGAUAUUCGAUAAAAUGCUCAGGAGAAACGUCUGGACAUGGAUUGCUAUGAUUUCGGGGUUGGCCCAGCAUGGUUUAGCGAUGGAGGCCCUUUACCCUUUGAAAAUGAAGGGGUAGUAAAUGCCAUAGAGGAGCCAGAAGGGAACACUUGACUUGUAGUGAUUUUGAUAUUGAAGAAUUGAAGAAAGUGAGAGUGGUAAUGGAUUGAAAGAGGGAAAUAUCCAAUUCCUAGAUUGCUGUUUGUAUUGGGAAAUCUGAAGUUGUUGGAGAGUCCAGUCUGAGAUGUCAAUUCCAUUGGCUUUAAAUGGGUUCCUCCAUAUGCGUGUGGCUCUAUAGGAUUCGUGUGAGAGGGAAGGGCAAAUCAAAACAAAUAUGUGAGGAGAAAGAAUGAGGUAUCAAUGCAGUAUUCUUAGUUCAAGGUAGCUUUUUUUUUUUUUUCCUUUUUUCUUUUCUAAUAGCCUACACGGUGGAAUGUCCAUUGGUUUGCAAAGUUUGUGAUGUGUUGUUCACCCUAUCCAUCUCAUAUCCAUUUUCCCAGUUUAUUUUUGGAAAAUACUCGUUUUAUAUCCAAAACUAAACAUUUCUUGAUUCAA